rnacentral:rRNA from 1 species
GACGAACGCUGGCGGCGUGCUUAACACAUGCAAGUCGAACGGAAAGGCCCUGCUUUUGUGGGGUGCUCGAGUGGCGAACGGGUGAGUAACACGCGAGUAACCUGCCCUUGUCUUUGGGAUAACUUCAGGAAACUGGGGCUAAUACCGGAUAGGAGCUCCUGCUGCAUGGUGGGGGUUGGAAAGUUUCGGCGGUUGGGGAUGGACUCGCGGCUUAUCAGCUUGUUGGUGGGGUAGUGGUUUACCAAGGCUUUGACGGGUAGCCGGCCUGAGAGGGUGACCGGCCACAUUAGGACUGCGGUACGGACCAGACUCCUACGGGAGGCAGCAGUGGGGAGUAUUGCAGAGUGGGCGGAAGCCAGAGGCAGAAACGCCGCGUGCGGGAUGACGGCCUUCGGGUUGUAAACCGCUUUCGAAUGUGACGAAGCGUGCGUGACGGUAAUGGGUAAAGAAGCAACGGCUAACUACGUG